GAAGGAGCUAGUGUUUUAUUUUAUACAAUCCUGGGUUCAGUUGGGGUUUAGGGUUCUCUCUGUUCAGUAGCAGACACCCUAGCAUCCGGGUUGAACACUUUGUAAUGCGUAAUGGAUUCGGACACUGAUGCACCAAAAUCCAAAACUCCCAAAAAGGAGAAGAACAAGAAGAAAAAAGA